rnacentral:rRNA from 1 species
UAUUAUACCUAGUUGUAAUGAUUUAGAUCUUUGAGUAGUAAACAGUUAUGGCCUCGAAACUCAAAGGAUUUGGCGGUAUCUAAGUCCAGUUAGAGGAACUUGUGCAGUAAACGAUAGUCCGCGAGUAUCUAGCCUUAUCUUGUAGAUAUCAGUUUGUAUACCGCCAUUAUUAGGUAGUCUUUAAAGAGAUUUAUUAUAAUAAAGUUAUGUUUAGUAUAUUAGGUCAAGGUGCAGCCAAUGAUAGGGGUGUUGUGAGUUACAAUAACAUAAGGGUUACGCGGAUGGGCUGUGGGAGUUGCAGCUUUGAAGAUGGAUUUAAUUGUAAGGGGUGUGUAUGGCGCACGUNUGAUAGGGGCUCUU